AUUGAACGCUGGCGGCAGGCCUAACACAUGCAAGUCGAACGAGUGGCGGACGGGUGAGUAAUGUCUGGGACACUGCCUGAUGGAGGGGGAUAACUACUGGAAACGGUAGCUAAUACCGCAUACCAUCAGAUGUGCCCAGAUGGGAGUAGCUCGGUGGUGGGGUAACGGCUCACCAAGGCGACGAUACCUAGCCGGUGUGAGAGGAGGACCAGCCACACUGGAAGUGAGACACGGUCCAGACGCCUACGGGAGGCAGCAGUGGGGAAUAUUGCACAAUGGGCGCAAGCCUGAUGCAGCCAUGCCGCGUGUAUGAAGAAGGCCUUCGGGUUGUAAAGUACUGUCAGCGGGGAGGCGUUACCCGCAGAAGAAGCACCGGCUAACUCCGUGCCAGCAGCCGCGGUAAUAC
rnacentral:rRNA from 1 species